rnacentral:rRNA from 1 species
CCCUUAGAUGUCCUGGGCCGCACGCGCGUUACACUGAUGCAUUCAACGAGCUUAUAACCUUGGCCGAGAGGCCUGGGCAAUCUUGUUAACGUGCAUCGUGAUAGGGAUAGAUUAUUGAAAUUAUUAAUCUUGAACGAGGAAUUCCUAGUAAACGCAGAUCAUCAAUCUGCAUUGAUUACGUCCCUGCCCUUUGUACACACCGCCCGUCGCACCUACCGAUUGGAUGGUCCGGUGAAGCCUCGGGAUUGUGGUUCUUGCCGCUUUAUUGUGGCGUGACCGCGAGAAAUUGUCUAAACCUUAUCAUCUAGAGGAAGGUGAAGUCGUAACA